UGUUUUCUUCUAUUUAAAGGUUUGUAAUUAAUCUGGAAUAACUCAGUUGAUGAAGAUGAUGAAUUGAAUGAAAUUAGCAUUGCUUUCUCCCACCUUCCCUUCUUGUUCUCUUCUCCUCCGGUCUUCUUUCUCCAUUCUCUCCGUUCCUUCCCCCUUUCUUGCUGCCUAUUUCUUCCUGUCCUUCUAACUGUGGUUAUUUCUUUAUCAGUAUAUUGAUUCUACAUCAUCUAUCAUGAUGUCUUUAUGCAUUCCCCACUUGUACAGUAUGAUUAUUAUAGACCUGUUAUUUGAUAGAGCUCCCCUCAUUCCCACCCCACCCUGGAUUGGCAGGAGGAGGUUUGGUGCAGUGCUUGGUAUAAUUCUGAUGGCCAAUUUUGCAACCAAGUUCACUGCACGAUGCGAGCUAUGUGAUGAGCGUGAUUUAUUUGCUUUGAGGAAGAAUGAGGAGACUGAAACAGAACUUAUUGCCGGCGCCGAAGUAUAUAUGCCAGUGUGCUGUAUGCGCACUGUGAGUGUGCAAGUGGUCAAAGUGGCUGUACAAGGACAGUCCUUGAAUCUCAGAAGAUGGAAAGUUUUGCCUAUGAAUUUGUCUCUUCUUCAAGGAGAGCGGCAACCUUUUUUCCACACUUGGUGCAUCCAAGAUCAGAGAUAUGACGUUCAAGAGCCAUAAAAAGAGAUUUAUACAGCAAUGUAGUACCGCGAAGCUGCAAACAGAGAAAAGAGAAAAAUCCAGUUGAAGCAUGUCUGGAGCUUUAAAGUAGAAGCAGAAUUACCUUUGUCAUCUUUAGAGCUUUUUGAAUAACAUAGUUUCCAAACUGAUCUCGAGCAAGAUGAGAAGGCAAGAUGUAUAAACUGACCUUCGAGACAAUGCAGUAUUUUAUCAGUAACAGAUGCGUUUCUAAGAGCGAGGACAUGCUGCACAACAUAGUUCCUGGAAAAGGACCAUCACUAAGGUAAAGUUUUCCAGACAAGCACAGUUGCAUGAAUAUUGAAUUAUAAUUUCUGAGUUUCAUAAUAAAUAAUUUCAUUAGUACCCAUAAGGAUCGUUUGACAGGUAAGCUGCCACAUUUGCAAUAUGAUCGAGAAGAGUUGUUCUUUGAGAACCACUGAUGCUAUUGAUGCAUUCAUUCAAGGAUAUACAUCCCACUUCAUGGGUAGCCAGUUCUUGGAAGUAAUAUAUUGCUAGUUCAUAGAGUAUCUGAGAUCAAAUAAGAAAUUUAACGUCAUAUUAUUUUAAAAGAUAAAGAAUGUGCAGGCAUAAAUUUCUGAAUAGUUUAACGUAUUUAGUUUGUUAUUCAGAACAGGAAAAGCAGGAAGAAUAAUAAGUAGAAUGUGGCUGAAAAGGCUUCUUCUUCGAGUAUU